GGCCCGCUAGCUCAAUUGGCAGAGCAACUGACUCUUAAUCAGUAGGUUUUGCGUUCGAGUCGCAAGCGGGUCACCA
rnacentral:tRNA from 1 species